rnacentral:rRNA from 1 species
AUGAUCGCUGGGGUAGGUGAGCAUUUCGCCGGCGGCGAGCGGCUGCCGCUUGGGGAGUUGGGGUCGAAAUUACUUGAGCGCUCUUGCAUUGACUCCCACCCUCCCGACCUCCCCCCCCUUUGUUCUCCGCCCCCGCUCUCUGCUUCCUGGCCAUGGCGGAGAGCCCCCGCUCCGUCAACUCCGUGUUCCCUCGGGAGAGGCCCGUCGUCUCUGGUCUGGGGAUCUCCUCAGCUUUCGAGAGAUCCGCCGAGGACGUGGCUGGCCCGUUGGCGCCCGGCGCGCCACCGGCCGCGCCUCUGCUGA